rnacentral:rRNA from 1 species
GUAGGGCGGGACACGUGGUAUCCUGUCUGAAUAUGGGGGGACCAUCCUCCAAGGCUAAAUACUCCUGACUGACCGAUAGUGAACCAGUACCGUGAGGGAAAGGCGAAAAGAACCCCGGCGAGGGGAGUGAAAAAGAACCUGAAACCGUGUACGUACAAGCAGUGGGAGCACCUUCGGGUGUGACUGCGUACCUUUUGUAUAAUGGGUCAGCGACUUAUAUUCUGUAGCAAGGUUAACCGUAUAGGGGAGCCGAAGGGAAACCGAGUCUUAACUGGGCGUUAAGUUGCAGGGUAUAGACCCGAAACCCGGUGAUCUAGCCAUGGGCAGGUUGAAGGUUGGGUAACACUAACUGGAGGACCGAACCGACUAAUGUUGAAAAAUUAGCGGAUGACCUGUGGCUGGGGGUGAAAGGCCAAUCAAACCGGGAGAUAGCUGGUUCUCCCCGAAAGCUAUUUAGGUAGCGCCUCGUGAACUCAUCUUCGGGGGUAGAGCACUGUUUCGGCUAGGGGGCCAUCCCGGCUUACCAACCCGAUGCAAACUACGAAUACCGAAGAAUGUUAUCACGGGAGACACACGGCGGGUGCUAACGUCCGUCGUGAAGAGGGAAACAACCCAGACCGCCAGCUAAGGUCCCAAAGUCAUGGUUAAGUGGGAAACGAUGUGGGAAGGCCCAGACAGCCAGGAUGUUGGCUUAGAAGCAGCCAUCAUUUAAAGAAAGCGUAAUAGCUCACUGGUCGAGUCGGCCUGCGCGGAAGAUGUAACGGGGCUAAACCAUGCA